rnacentral:misc_RNA from 1 species
UCACACUAGGCCAAAAACAGUCUCAAUCGCUUCUUCAGUCUUAUUAUUAUUUUCUUUUUUGUUAAUAAAACUUGAAAAAGGAGAAGGUAGAGAAAAGGAGAACAAGUGCCAUACUCAAAUGAAGAAGCAGAAUAUGUUCUUUUGAUAUAAAUAUAAAGAUUGUAUCAAAUUUCUAUGGAGAAGAGAGAGGAGCAAAUGAUAAAGACUGAGAUUUCCAUGGCAAAUUCCACAUUCAUCACAGAGGAGAUACCCAGUAGUUUUGCUUUAUCAUCCUCAACUCCAACAUCAGCAAGCAUCUUUGACAUGAUGCCAUGUGAUAUUGGUGAUAAAGCCUCUUUAGGCUUCACGGACCUGCUUGAUGGCAACCAAGAUUUUGGCACUUGUUUGUUCGAUUGGUUUCAGCCUCCGAUUGUUCCUCACCAACCCUUGCCUUCUCCGGCGUCCACUGUUCCCGAAUCAUCCGAGGUCUUGAACACUCCGGCCACUCCUAACUCCUCCUCCAUCUCUUCAUCCUCGAAUGAAGCAGGAAAUGAGGCGCAAGCUAAAGCUGGAGAUGAAGAAGAGCAGGAUCAAGAAAAGAACAAGAAACAGUUGAAACCCAAAAAGAAGAACCAGAAAAGGCAAAGAGAGCCAAGAUUUGCUUUCAUGACAAAAAGCGAAGUUGAUCACCUAGAUGAUGGAUAUAGAUGGAGGAAGUACGGCCAGAAAGCAGUGAAAAACAGCCCUUAUCCGAGGAGCUAUUAUCGUUGCACUAGUGCAGGAUGUGGGGUGAAGAAGAGAGUAGAGAGAUCAUCUGAGGAUCCCACCAUAGUUGUUACAACUUAUGAAGGACAACACACGCAUCCAAGUCCCAUAACCCCCAGGGGAAGUAUCGGACUUCUGCCAGAUUCAGGUGGUUUCGGUGCUGCAACUUCUUUUGUUGUUCCACAACCUCAGUACCAGCAACAGCAACAUGCCUGUAUGUAUAGCUCAUCGCCUUCACUGAACAUUAGCACUAGUAGUCGUAGUUUUAAUCCCUCAUUUUCUCCAAGUUUUCUGCAAGAGAGACGGUUUGGUCCUUCAUCAGCUUCUUUGUUCAGAGACCAUGGGCUUCUUCAGGACAUCGUGCCCACCCAGAUGAGAAAGGAAACUACAGAGGAGUAGAAGGAUUUGCAUGUUAGUUUACUGGUAUGUGAUUCUCUAACUGACAUAUGGGGUUCUGUAACUUGAGAAAUGCCGCUAUGUCAAUCACCCAAUAUUAAUUUCAAUGACACAGAACCUUAUCUUUGGAAAAUGAUGAUGAUGAUGAC